rnacentral:rRNA from 1 species
AUUGAACGCUGGCGGCAGGCCUAACACAUGCAAGUCGAGCGAGGGGCGGACGGGUGAGUAAUUUUUGGGGAUCUACCAUAUAGAGGGGGAUAACUACGGGACACUGUAGCUAAUACCGCAUACUAUAGGAUGACCCUAUGUGGGAUUAGCUAGUGGGUGGGGUAAUGGCUCACCAAGGCGACGAUCCCUAGCUGGUCUGAGAGGAUGAUCAGCCACACUGGGACUGAGACACGGCCCAGACUCCUACGGGAGGCAGCAGUGGGGAAUAUUGCACAAUGGGCGCAAGCCUGAUGCAGCCAUGCCGCGUGUAUGAAGAAGGCCCUAGGGUUGUAAAGUACUUUCAGUCGGGAGGCGUUACCGACAGAAGAAGCACCGGCUAACUCCGUGCCAGCAGCCGCGGUAAUAC